rnacentral:lncRNA from 1 species
CCCCUAAUCUCCCUUUGUAGCUUCAUCCUGUCGAUAGGACGGUACCUUUCUUUCGCCAGAGAGCCUAGUUACUCAGCUACUUCCCUCGCACCAGUCCUUGUCUUCUUCAGCCCCCCACUUCUUCUCUGAGGGUCCCCACACCAUGUCUUCUACCCCGGAGGCCCUCCGUGAAGGGAUGUCUAGGGCCCAGAGGAAGGCGAGGAGGAGAACAGUGGCCGGUGAGGAUCCCCGUCGUUUCAAAGGAGGCUCAAGGAAGAAUUCCUUCAACAACAAGGGUUUAAUAACGGGGGCCGCCGGUAAGGUUAUUCUGCCCGAG